rnacentral:rRNA from 1 species
UACGUAGGUGGCAAGCGUUGUCCGGAUUUACUGGGCGUAAAGGGCGCGUAGGCGGCGCGGUAAGUCACUUGUGAAAUCUCUGAGCUUAACUCAGAACGGCCAAGUGAUACUGCAGUGCUAGAGUGCAGAAAGGGCAAUCGGAAUUCCUGGUGUAGCGGUGAAAUGCGUAGAUAUCAAGAGGAACACCUGAGGCGAAGGCGGGUUGCUAGGCUGACACUGACGCUGAGUGCGCGAAAGCCAGGGGAGCAAACGGG